UAUGGACAGUACAGUACAGUACACGUUGUCAACAAGGACGGAAGUUUAAAACUUACUUUCGUUUUUAGUUCCUUGCAUUAAACUAGUUCGGUUGAAACUUGACUGCCGUUUGCAAAGCUGCCUAAGACGCGCUUUUAAAAUAUUAAGAGGUAAAAGUUUGUGCCUGGCUGAUCAUCGUGUUAUAGAUCUGAUCAAUAUUCAACAGAAUGAGCAACUACGAGGCCGAAUUUGUGGAUCGGAACCGCGCCGCCCUUAUUCAAAGGGUUAUAGCAGUGAUGCCAAUAGCAGAUGAGCUGAAAAACAAGAUUCACGAUGAAACCUACGCAGAGAUUAAAGCAGAAAAAACCAGCCAGGGUAAAAUGAGAAAGCUCUAUGACGCGCUAAACGCUGGCGGAGACCGAGUGAAAACAGACUUUUAUUAUGCUUUGAGAAAUAAUGAGCUAUACCUCUUCAAAGACCUGGGUGGUGUGACAGCUAAUCAUGAUGAAGCUGAUGUGAACAUGGAGAGAAGAAUACUACAGUAAACUGAACACUCCCUGCACCGAAGACACAGAAGAAGACCCCUGCAAUUGGAAACGAAUGUGACCUGAAAAGAUGCAGCCACCUUGAGAUUAAGGAAAGUUUCAUAAAUGCAGUUACUAAGGGAACAGUUUACCCAGGCAUUUGACCAAAGAUAUGACUCUUUUGUAAAUGAAACAAAAGGAGAAAUGGAUCUGUUUAAUAUGAAGGAUGAAUGUAUUGAUUGUUGAAGGUUGAAUCUUUCAGAUCUUUUGAUCUUUGUGUUUUAAAUAAGAAAAGUCAUAUUGGUGUUCAUUUUGUAAGUAAACAUUUUUAAUUCAUCAAAAGUACAUGUUAUGAAUCAAUAUUUACAUUUUUUAAGUAUUUUUAUAUUAUAUUACUAUUUUUUUUAAGUUUUAAAACACAAUCAAGUAUCAAAUAAGUCUUACUAUUAAUUAAAAUGCUUAAAAAGUAGCUCUUUUUUAUACUAUAGCUAACUAGUAUUGAACUUGUAUGAUGUAUACCACCUGUUUUUUAUAUUUUAAAUGUAAAACCUCAUUGACUUGCAACAUGAUGUCACAACAUUUAUAAAAUAAAAUGACCAAUACUUGCCUUUCUGUC